rnacentral:rRNA from 1 species
UCAUGGCUCAGGACGAACGCUGGCGGCGUGCCUAAUACAUGCAAGUCGAGCGAAUCUUUGGGUGCUUGCACCCAUUGGUUAGCGGCGGACGAGUGAGUAACACGUGGGCAACCUGCCUGUAAGACUGGGAUAACUUCGGGAAACCGGAGCUAAUACCGGAUAAUCCUUUUCCUCUCAUGAGGGAAAGCUGAAAGAUGGCGCAAGCUAUCACUUACAGAUGGGCCCGCGGCGCAUUAGCUAGUUGGUGAGGUAACGGCUCACCAAGGCGACGAUGCGUAGCCGACCUGAGAGGGUGAUCGGCCACACUGGGACUGAGACACGGCCCAGACUCCUACGGGAGGCAGCAGUAGGGGAUCUUCCGCAAUGGACGAAAGUCUGACGGAGCAACGCCGCGUGAGCGAUGAAGGCCUUCGGGUCGUAAAGCUCUGUUGUUAGGGAAGAACAAGUAUCGGAGUAACUGCCGGUACCUUGACGGUACCUAACCAGAAAGCCACGGCUAACUACGUGCCAGCAGCCGCGGUAAUACGUAGGUGGCAAGCGUUGCCCGG